GUGCCAGCCGCCGCGGUAAUACAUAGGGGGCAAGCGUUAUCCGGAAUUAUUGGGCGUAAAGGGUGCGUAGGUGGCCAUUUAAGUCUUUGGUGUAAGUGCAGUGCUCAACGCUGUGAUGCUAAAGAGACUGGGUGGCUUGAGUGUGGUAGAGGCAAGUGGAAUUCCAUGUGUAGCGGUAAAAUGCGUAAAUAUAUGGAGGAACACCAGUGGCGAAGGCGGCUUGCUGGGCCAUAACUGACACUGAGGCACGAAAGCGUGGGGAGCAAACAGGAUUAGAUACCCUGGUAGUCCACGCCGUAAACGAUGAGUACUAAGUGUUGGAGAAAUUCAGUGCUGUAGUUAACGCAAUAAGUACUCCGCCUGAGUAGUACGUACGCAAGUAUGAAACUCAAAGGAAUUGACGGGACCCCGCACAAGCGGUGGAUCAUGUUGUUUAAUUCGAUGAUACGCGAAGAACCUUACCAGGUCUUGACAUCCCUUGCAAAGCUCUAGAGAUAGAGUGGAGGUUAUCAAGGAGACAGGUGGUGCAUGGUUGUCGUCAGCUCGUGUCGUGAGAUG
rnacentral:rRNA from 2 species